rnacentral:lncRNA from 1 species
UUUGAUGGGUUUUUUUCCCACUCGCUGUUCAGUAUUCGUAUUGGAGCUCUGAUUAAUUCAAAUCGCGCAUCGCAGGAUCUAUUCUGGGGAUGACACGCACUGCAGGACCCAUUUUGGGGAUGACACCCCCAACAGAAUUUUCUUUAUACCCAGGGCUCGAACCCGAGAUCUCUGAUUAAGAUCGGAGUAGUUCCACACUACUACACCACAACCCAUAUUGGUCAUGUUUGAUGGUUGAUACAAAAUAUGUCUAGUUUUCCUUCUUUUUUUGUGUGUGUGUUGAUCCGGCG